rnacentral:rRNA from 1 species
UGGGGAAUUUUGGACAAUGGGGAAACCCGAUCGAUCCAGCCCAUCCCGCCGUGUGCGAUGAAGGCCUUCGGGUUGUAAAGCACUUUUGGCAGGAAAGAAACGUCGCGGGUUAAUACCCCGCGAACAUGACGGUACCUGCAGAAUAAGCACCGGCUAACUACGUGCCAGCAGCCGCGGUAAUACGUAGGGUGCAAGCGUUAAUCGGAAUUACUGGGCGUAAAGCGUGCGCAGGCGGUUCGGAAAGAAAGAUGUGAAAUCCCAGAGCUUAACUUUGGAACUGCAUUUUUAACUACCGGGCUAGAGUGUGUCAGAGGGAGGUGGAAGUUCCGCGUGCAGCAGUGAAAUGCGUAGAUAUGCGGAGGAACACCGAUGGCGAAGGCAGCCUCCUGGGAUAACACUGACGCUCAUGCACGAAAGCGUGGGGAGCAAAC